GGAGCAGCAGGAGCAGCAGCCGAGCCCCUUGGGUGGCUCCAGUGCUGGUGAUCUGCAUGGGGACAGUCACCAGCAGAGGGGACUCCGGGUUCCUGUCUCUGUUCCCAGUGUUAUACAAGGUGUUCCAAAAAGAUGCGCUCAAUUGGAAAUCGCUGUAUCUCUGCAGCCCACGAACGAGAAGCUCUCACCGCUGGAAAGGGCAGGGCGCAGAAUGUCCGGUUGUUGCCACUAGGUGCCUCUGCCAGCGCACAGACAGCCGCGGGGCCGCGGAGCGCUUGUCAGCGGCACCAGCAGCGUGAGGGAACGGGCUGUUCCCGGGAGGGGAAGAGCACGGGGAACACGCGCUCCAGAGGAAAAGGUGGGAAGAACACGGCCCGUGCGCGUCCAUUCGUCCUGCCAGCCGAGUCCAUCUCUCUGAAACACCCUGUAACAUUUCGUUAGAUAAUCAUACAAGCAUAAAACGCAGGGACAGUUCUCAGGACAGAGACCAAACACAGCUUUAGCUCCCAGCCUGGCGGUCUCGUCUGCUCUCUCUGACUCUUUUUCUAUGUAAUGCCAUAUUUCAGAAAGAGAGAAGUGGAGAGAAAGAACCAUUCAUUCUCCUUUCUCCUAGACAGACGUGGUGGGGUGAUCUGAAAUGUGCACGUUUCCUGGAGGUGAGGUGAGAAUUGGACCAGCUAUCUCGCUUCUUGAGCAUCUGUUUCAGUCACUGGACUAACAGGGACCCGGCAGAGAAAGCCGCUGCGUGCAGAAGCCCGGCUCUGACAGCACGCGUCACACGGAGAACACUCCCUGGACCGGGCCUUCGCGUGGUGUGGAGAAACACUUAGUCUCUGGAUGACGAUUUGACUUCAGCUGGCUCUUCAUGAGCCACCCACACUGUUCUUAGCUGACCUAGAACAGAAACAGGAUUUUAUGGCAUGUUCUCACUGCAAAAUAAGCCAGAGCCAGAGGGCCGGCUCAGCUUUUGGCGCCCAGUCGCUCACGCCGCGCGGCUGCAGCGCCCGCAGUGCGGGCCCCCGCCUAGCGGCAGUCUGAGGGGGUUUUGCUGCAGCACAGGGCAGCAGCACCCGCUGACGAUGGGCAGGAGAGAUUCUACCAGAACCGGUUCCCUGGCAUUUCGCAGCUGCCUUCUGUGGGUUUUGUGCUCCGAACCACACCGUGCACCCUGACACCACGGCAGGCAGCGUGUGCUCCUGCAGCUUGCAGCCGCUCCGCCUCGGGCAGCCCGAAACGGAGAGGUGCCCGUGCCAGGAAACCCUCGCAUCCUCCAUGUCUUCCGGCCGGAUGGCCCUUAGAUGAAAACCAGCGGAAACCCAGAGUUAUGAGUCAGGUAAUGGGAACGGGUCUGGUCUGUGCUCCGCGGGCUCACACUGGCACUGUCUCACCUGGACUGGAUGUAGCCAAUGCACCAUCUGAACCAAAGGCCGACCACCAGCAGUCACCGCAGCCACAAGGCAGGGCCUGAAUACACGUACUCUAUAGGGAAAGGGCCCGGAGAAAGGAAAAUAUCGCUAUGGAAGUGGGUGAACACUGGAACAUGGGCCCAGAGGGCUGUAAGAUCCUAAAACCCAAAGGCCCUGGACAUCUGGAGAAGGCCGGGAGCGGCUUUGAGCCCCGCAGAGCGCCUGUCCCCGCGGACCUGACACUGACUGUCGACCUCAGGCAGGAGUGCAGCCACACUACAAACUGGAAUAUGUACACGCUAUGCAGAGCAGGGGGUCAGUCUUCUGACAACAUGUCUCUAUGGUGAAUCUCAGGUAUUUUAUGAUAUGAAUUGUGAGUGAAAAGGGGAAGAAGAGGGCGAGCUAAAGAUAAAGGAUCAGAUGUUACAUCCUGCCUGCUCAGCUGCUGGUCCUUAAACUGCUUGCUGCUGUGCAUUCACCAUCAAUAGCAGACAUACUUAUGCCACCGUACUCUGCAAGCAAACAAUCAGUGCGGGCAAGAGUGGCCUAGGUGGGUUCUGUUGGGCAACGUUCAGAACUCGGCAGCUCUUGCAAAUGAAAGGUCAAAGGCAAGUCUCCAGCCAGGCCCCGCGUGACUGUGGAGCGCAGGAUGCGGCCCCACGUUAGCAGUGCUAACCAGGGAUGGGGUCACUGUAGGACAACGGGCAAAACUGAACUCUGCUACAACUGAAUGUCGUGUUGAUAAUGCAGCCUCACCGGUUUUUAUAAACAAAAUUGAACUUAAUUUGCUUCAGAGUAGCUAAGGUGCUGUUAAUUCAAAACCCACAGAGUAACUCACUGGACACAGUUAAUAGUCAGCAGACCACAUAGGCCAGGCUUUGAAAGCAUUUAAUAUUCGCUGAAGUGCUGCUUGUAUCCAAUUAUAACUCACUACUUGCCAUCUUAAUAAUUUAAAUCUGUCCACUCUUUAGAGAGAAAAAAAUGCACUAAUCAAAUACAUGAAUGCACCUUUUGCUUUUGACAGCAUUAAAUUAAAACUAAAUGGUAGAUCUUGAAUGAGUUACUCUGCAAGAAUAAAGGCAUUAAUGAGGUAAUUUCAUUAUAGAGGCUCAUCCAAGCCUAUGUGAAAACAAGGGAAGUAAAUGGAGAGGAAAGCCGCUGAGGAAAUUAGGGUUCCUUCCACACUAAUUAAUGUUUUGGGGCAUUUAGUACAGGCACCAAAUUAACUGCUCCAAAGAACUCCAUUGAGAAAAAAAAUACAUUGUUGCUCUGCCAUGUAAUUAGAAGACAGUACAAGCAGAACACUUAAUGAGUAUAAAGCCAGCCUUUAACUUAUUCUGCCCAGCUUCUGAAAACAUGCCAUUGUGGAGGCCUAAGUUUAAGGAAGCACAAGGCGUACAAUAUAGGAUUGUUUAGGUCCUUCUGUUCGGUGAGCUGUAAACAGGUAGCCCUGAAUGGGGACUCUGGGACUCCUGGGAGGCCCGGCUUCCCAGAAAAAACAAGGUCUUAAAUGCGUCCAGAGGGAAGAAGAAAAGGUGAAUAGGCCCGGCCCGGGCAGCGCCGUGAAUGCGCACCGCUGUCCUAAGCGAUUACAUGAUGUUGUGCCACCCCCUCUCAUUGAGUUAUCUUUACACUGCUUUUGUCUCCUCUAAUUGGAGCUGAUGAGGUGCUAAUUGGUUGCUUUUUAAAAAAAGCACUACUUAAGCACUGGCAAACAGAGUAAGACAGCGUGAGUGGAGUUAAUGAGGGCUUAGCAAAAAAGAAAAACCAAACCAACCAACCAACCUCAAAAAAAUCAUACCAGAGCUAAGACAGCCCAUGCGAAUGUGUGCACCAGCACAUACGGACGUGCCAUCCUGGUGGUGUAAACAAAAACGCGAAGGGAAAUGUCUGAAUGUAGGCGAUGGCUGGGAGGAUUUAGUUGUGUGAGCGAAGGGGCAACGCCGGGCGCAGAUCACGCACGGACAGACGGACGCCCAGCGCUCCGGCCCCGCGGAGGGGCGGGGGCGCCGCGCGGGACCCGCCGCACGGUGCGGAGCCCGGCGGGGCUGCCGGCGGGGCGCGGGCCGGUGGCGCACGGAGGACUCGCUCCGGAGGUGUUCACACGGUCCUGAGGAGGGUGCUGAGGUGAGGUCUGCAGGCUGGCGGGCCGAACCGCCGCUUUGCGACUCGCAGGUGAGCUGCUCGCCAUGGCCCCUUGCUGGCCCAGGGCAAGGCCGGCGCCCUCCGGCGUGACAGCCGGACCUCGCACAGCCACCCGCCGCGCCGUGGUGGAUGUGGCAUCGCAGCCACACGCAGGUGACAGCUGUGCCUCUGCACCCACAGCCUGCAGGCUGGACUAGGCUGGAAAGGUUUCUAUUUCAAACUCAUAUCUGUGGUGUUAAACCGAGGUCUAGGCUGGUUAGAAAUAGCCCAGACGCCUGUGUCAGGCUGAGCAGCUGCGGUCAGUGGUGCCCGCCAGCAGCAGCAGCGCUCCCGUUUCGGGGCACGCGUGUCCGCGGCAGUGGGUCUGUGUCAGUGCCCGUGCCGUGGGUCACCCCGCGGACACCGCUGGCCGGACCGCCGCGCUCGGCUGUCACCAGGCUCCCCGCCCCCCCGCCCCGCCUGCGACCAGCACCGAGCCCAGCAACAGGCCUUUUGUCGCCGGGUUGCUGUCACCUUCCCCACUGUGUGUGCCGCCGUGAUUUACACGCCAGCAGCAGCAGGUGUUGGGGGACGCUCUCAAUGACCUCAUUUUCAGCACAUGGGCUUGUAUCAAAAAAUAAAUCUGGAAAGCGCUGACUUUAAAAAUGUUUACAUGCUUAGUCUUUUGGUAAUUUUGUGUUUUGAAAAUAUUCUUAAUAUAGUUACUUAAUUUGGGUAUGUAGUUAAUAACUUCGACAACAUUUUCAGUAACAACAUGGAUACAGAAACACCCUGAAUAAUUUGAACCCCAUGAAGAAAAGAAAUAUUUUUUUUUCUUUUUUUUAAUGCUUGGCAUGGUUUUAGCUUUUUAAAAUGAUUUUUUGCCAGCUUUAUGUGAAGUAUUGUGAUUAGAGCGUGUAGUGUUAAACCUGUUGCUACUACAGCUGGAUCCAGAGGUCCUACUUUUGCCAUAACUAUGUACACCUCCUAAAAAAGAUGUUGAGUAACAUUGGGUCCUCUGCAUUUUACGCAUAUCCUGUAGGUGGGUUGAUACUGCCUCCCGCGUUUCUAAACCAAUUCUGAAGUUCCCCACUACUAAAGUACUCGAGUCCUAAAGGAGAGCACAGAAAGCACCUGGGCUAUCGCUGAUGUUGCCUGGCAAUACGCAAAAAUAAUUCUGCAAGCUUUUUGAGAAUGAUAUUGCAAAUGCCUGUGUUCAACAGAGUCUGUGCUGUUGAUGGGUUUCUUUACAUACAGUUUGUUUUAUGCGCAGCUGCAGGGCUCCGUGUUUCACAGGCGGUACCUGGGGACUCGGGGAGCGGCUGCGGGCGGUGACCGCUUCGUCCUCCCCGUCGCGGGCUCAGGACCGCCAGGCAGCUCCCUGAGUCCUUCGGAGCUGCCGAGCAGCUUCCUGUGGACAAGGAGAGGAACGUGCAGUUAAACCUGUAAAACCCACAGUCAGCCUAAGACGACAAUGCACCUUUUAUUAAGAUGACUCAGAUGAUCUAUUGAUGCUGAGGAGAAAUAAAGGCUCAGGGCCCUCCCUUUGCUCACUUCUGGGUUGGGUUGGGUUGGUUUUGGCUGUGUAUAACGCAGUUAGAAAAACCAAUUAGUUUGCAAACAACCAGUUACUUGGGUAUGUGUUUAUGCCUGGUAAUUUGUACCCCUAUUGACAUUUUAAACUGGAUUCUUUUCACUCUAACACGUGGUCCCUUGAUUUUCUUUCAGUUGUCAUGAAGAUGGGGGGUUUCUUGCUGGCUGGUAGAAAGAAACUUCCUAGGGAACAAAGUUGCAAUUAAUUCCUCUAAACAUGUGUUCCUAGAACCAUCCAUCUAUAAAACAGGCAACAAAACAGAGCUCUUUGCUUUAAGAAGUCACAAAAGAUGCAGAGCUGAAAAAAAAGCUUGGAUCCCUUAAGGCUAAUUGAGCAAAUAUUUUGUUUUUUCUUCUGCGACUGAUGCACUUGACAAUGUUUGUGUGUUCCCAGGGGCAGGCACGCUGUGCCGCCGGGACGCGCGCUCGUCACCGCUGCCCGCGGCGCUCUCGCUGAAUGCUUGCGGGAGGCCGUCCCUCGGGUUUCCUUUGUUUCCCAUGGGAUUAAUAGCUUCUGGUUUACCACAAGGCAGCGUGACGUGAGCUGUGGCAUUGCAUGCUGUGCCUGCCAAGAUGUAAUCCUUAGACGUCUUCUCUUUCCACUUCCUCUUCCAGUUUACCUUUUGCCUUGCUGCUGUUGGGAAAGACGCUUCCCAGGCCCCCUUCCUUCCCAACAAGCACGGCCAAUUGUGCACCCGUUUAAAUAGGAAUGACCUUCAUUUUCUGAAGGUGAAGGUGAUCCUGUUCAUAAGGAACAAACAGCAGAGAGGGCUGGGGUCCUUCGCUGGCUCCUGGCAUUCCUGGUCCUGAUGAGCGAUGGCUUCAUUGCUCUGGCUGCUGCAGCUGCAGCUCAGGGGCACAGGCAGCCCUAUCACAUCUAAAUGAGGUAAAGGGGGCACCACUCGCCUGAGCCCAUGGGAUGGCAUAUCUCAUCAGCUGCUGCUAAUGAGGGGAUUAAAGGUGCCUUAAACCAUCUCCUCUUGUUGGUAGGUUUGGGUCUGGAAGCCUUAUCUCUUCCUGCACAAGUGGUGAGUAGUUUAGUGGUUGCGAAGUGCAUGGAGUAGGUGUGUCAGAGGCAAAACCACAUUUGUAGUUACUAUUGUACCUGUUAGAGCGGAAGCAUCUUUGGAUUCCUGCUGGGAUUAGUUCCCGAAUGCAUUUCCAGGCCAUCUCAUCUGCGAGCCUGUGCCAGCGGCUCCUGCCACCAGUGCGCAAUGAAUCUCUCAUCUUUGACCUUGGAGGGAAUUUGGCAGCUGUCCCUGCGUGAGAGGGAGCAGAUGGCCGUGUGCGCUCAGUACCGCGGCACAGCACCGUGUGUGCAAAGUGGGAAGCACCGGAGCCGCUUGUCCACCACUGCUGCCAUCAAACUGUCCCCAGAGAGAGCAGCAGCCCAGGACAGGCAGGCGUCUCUUUCAGAAAGAAGAUGAACUUUCCCAAUGGGAGGCAGUGUGCCAUGAUAAUGCUCCUGUCACUCACUUCCCUUGCCCUGCUUGUCCAGCUACAGCUUAAUCCAGUAUGAACAAUGCAGUAAGUAAAUAUCAGGUUGAUUAAUUAUGGUGCAAGAUUCAGUAACCACUUGUCUUCUGUAAUUAACAUUCUAAUUGAAAUUAAGUAAUACCCUUCAUACACAAAUUUCUGGACUAGGAGGAGGAGCGAGUGAGAAUCCUCAAGGGUGAGACAGGGAAAUUAAGAAAAUAAUAACUGGGGUCAAAAUAUUAAUUGUCUCUUUAAAAUUGUGUUACAUUUUAAGAAACUUUUCAGUCAAAAAACCCCAAACAAACAACUCUAUUGCUUCCAGGUGUCUCGGACAUGGAGUUGGUUAAUCAAAAUAUUGCUUACACUUUCUGUAAAUACACCUUUCCUUCACCGAUUUGAUAAAUGGAAAUCGUGAGAAAAGGUGAUGCUGUCUAGGAUGCCCAGCAGUUUUCCCCUCCGUUGUUUCCAGGGGCACAUUGCUGAAGGGAGAGUGUUUUGCCUCUGGAAGCAACUUUAUAAAGCUUUGCUAAGGCUAAAAUGCUAUUGCAUGAUCUCAGGAAAAAAAGCAAAACCAACCCCAGACCCCCUGUGUUCCAGCUGGAGAACAUAGGCCGGGCUCAAGCACCUCCUUGGUAGAGCCAAAAAUGGGGCCGGUGUAACUCACCUCUGCUCAGCGUGGCCGGCCCAGCCCUCGGUGCCUCUGCCCCGUCCGGUGGGACCGGAGCGCGGGGUGGGGAGUGCAGGGGUGUCCUGAGGGACCGGAGCGCGG